rnacentral:rRNA from 1 species
ACGGGGCUAAACCAUGCACCGAAGCUGCGGCAGCGAACGUAUCACCCAAGACAACUUUACGGAGUUGACGAUUGACGGAGCGAAGCGACGUCAAAGCGUUCAUUAAAGUCGAGUUGGCUUAGGGAUACGUUCGUUGGGUAGGGGAGCGUUCUGUAAGCCUGUGAAGGUGUGUCGUGAGGCAUGCUGGAGGUAUCAGAAGUGCGAAUGCUGACAUAAGUAACGAUAAAGCGGGUGAAAAGCCCGCUCGCCGGAAGACCAAGGGUUCCUGUCCAACGUUAAUCGGGGCAGGGUGAGUCGACCCCUAAGGCGAGGCCGAAAGGCGUAGUCGAUGGGAAACGGGUUAAUAUUCCCGUACUUGGUGUUACUGCGAAGGGGGGACGGAGAAGGCUAUGUUGGCCGGGCGACGGUUGUCCCGGUUUAAGCGUGUAGGUGUGUGUUCCAGGUAAAUCCGGUUCACUUUAACACUGAGGCGUGACGACGAGGCACUACGGUGCUGAAGCAACAAAUGCCCUGCUUCCAGGAAAA